rnacentral:rRNA from 1 species
CCCCUAGUAACUGCGAGUGAAGCGGGAAGAGCUCAAAUUUAAAAUCUGGCGGUUCUGCCGUCCGAGUUGUAAUCUGGAGAAGCGUUUUCUGUGCUGGACCGUGCAUAAGUGUCUUGGAAUAGGACGUCAUAGAGGGUGAGAAUCCCGUCUUUGGCACGGACUACCAGUGCUCUGUGAUACGCUCUCAAAGAGUCGAGUUGUUUGGGAAUGCAGCUCAAAAUGGGUGGUAAAUUCCAUCUAAAGCUAAAUAUAGGCGAGAGACCGAUAGCGAACAAGUACCGUGAGGGAAAGAUGAAAAGCACUUUGGAAAGAGAGUUAAACAGUACGUGAAAUUGUUGAAAGGGAAACGCUUGAAGUCAGUCGCGUUGUCCAGGACUCAACCUUAGUUUUCUUUGGUGUAUUUCCUGGUUAACGGGUCAACAUCAAUUUUGAUCGGUGGACAAAGGCAGGGGAAAUGUGGCACCCUCGGGUGUGUUAUAGUCUCUUGUCAUAUACACUGGUUGGGAUUGAGGAUAUCACGCCCUCGGCGGUAGGAUGUUGGCAUAAUGGCUUUAAGCGACCCGUCUUGAAACACGGACCAAGGAGUCUAACAUGCCUGCGAGUGUUAGGGUGGUAAACCCUUGCGCGUAAUGAAAGUGAAAGUUGGGACCUCUUUGAGGGCACCGACGCCCGGCCUUGAACUCUUGUGACGGUGCUGCGGUAGAGCAUGUAUGUUGGGACCCGAAAGAUGGUGAACUAUGCCUGAAUAGGGCGAAGCCAGAGGAAACUCUGGUGGAGGCUCGUAGCGAUUCUGACGUGCAAAUCGAUCGUCAAAUUUGGG